UACGGAGGGGGCUAGCGUUGUUCGGAAUUACUGGGCGUAAAGCGCGCGCAGGCGGUCUUCCAAGUCAGUGGUGAAAGCCCGGAGCUCAACUCCGGAACUGCCAUUGAAACUGUUAGACUUGAGGACGAGAGAGGUGAGUGGAAUUCCCAGUGUAGAGGUGAAAUUCGUAGAUAUUGGGAAGAACACCGGUGGCGAAGGCGGCUCACUGGCUCGUAUCUGACGCUCAGGCGCGACAGCGUGGGGAUCAAACAGG
rnacentral:rRNA from 1 species